rnacentral:lncRNA from 1 species
AGAGAGAGAGAGAGAGAGAGAGAGAGAGAGCUCGGGCUGAGGAGCACUUUCUCCACUGUGCAUUUAUUUCUAUGUACGCAGGACACGAUGGGAUGUACAGCCAGCACUCACACCACAGCUCAGGACACAACUCGACCCAACUCAAAAACAGAGGAAUGUAACGGGGCGAGCACCACAGGAACAGCUGCUGAAAAGGCAGUACAUGAGAAAGAGACUACGCCUGCUCCGGAGGUGGCCAGUGCAAGUUCACAGCCCCAAGUAAGCUCUGAAAUUUCGGCAGCAACUGCAAGUCAGGCUGCAGCUGAGGCUCCUGCAGCUGAAGCACCUGCAGCUGAAGCACCUACAGCUGAAGCGUCUGCAGCUGAGGCUCCUGCAGCCGAGGCUCCUGCAGCCGAUGCUCCUGCAGCCGAUGCUCCUUCGGCUGAGGCUCCUGCAGCUGAAUCCGCAGCACCUGCAACUCAAGAUGAAGCAGCUUCAGCAGAAAGCCCAGCAGAACCAGCCCCAACAGAGGAGACACCAGCACCCAGUGAGGGAAGCUAAGGCAGAAUUCUGCAGACAUCGCUGGGUUAUGAUGAUGGUAGAACUGAAAAACUGCUCAAACAUUUCACGACAAACGAGGAACCUUUCAGCAGAGAUGCUUAAAACCUGAGAUGACUUAGGAUUGCUAGCCUGUUGCCAAGAUGCAGACUGCAGAUCUUUCAGACUGGGGUCUUGCAGACAUCACAGUGCCUUUAUUUAUCUUUGUCAGCGGUGAUGGGAACUACUUUUGUAUAUACUUA